UACGUAGGGCGCAAGCGUUGUCCGGAAUCACUGGGCGUAAAGCGCACGUAGGCGGAUCUUUAAGUCAGGGGGUGAAAUCCUGGAGCUCAACUCCAGAACUGCCUUUGAUACUGAAGAUCUUGAGUUCGGGAGAGGUGAGUGGAACUGCGAGUGUAGAGGUGAAAUUCGUAGAUAUUCGCAAGAACACCAGUGGCGAAGGCGGACUCACUGGCC
rnacentral:rRNA from 1 species